GACGAACGCUGGCGGCGUGCUUAACACAUGCAAGUCGAGCGAGGUUCAACCGUGUCGCAAGACAGGGGAAGACCUAGCGGCGAACGGGUGAGUAACACGUGAGCAACCUGCCCCGAAGACCGGGAUAACACCGGGAAACCGGUGCUAAUACCGGAUACCCUCACCGGGUCACAUGGCCUGAUGAGGAAAUGGAUUCCGCUUCGGGAGGGCUCGCGGCCUAUCAGCUUGUUGGCGGGGAACGGCCCACCAAGGCUCCGACGGGUAGCUGGUCUGAGAGGACGACCAGCCACACUGGGACUGAGACACGGCCCAGACUCCUACGGGAGGCAGCAGUGGGGAAUCUUGCGCAAUGCGCGAAAGCGUGACGCAGCAACGCCGCGUGGGGGAAGAAGG
rnacentral:rRNA from 1 species